rnacentral:sRNA from 1 species
ACCAGGCAGCGUAUCGCCCAGCCUCCAGAGGCAGUAAACACCACGUGCACACUGAGUUUCAAAUGCCCACGUGUUCGUUUUCCUCUUCGUGACAGAAUUCCUGACUUAAACAACCCGAAAGGAAAACUUAUUUUAAUUUCCGUUUCAUUGGUUGCAGACCAAAUUCAGCUGGAUACUUUGAGCUGAGGCUGAGGAGCACAAGCGCCACGGUGGAGGAAGGAUACCUUCUCUUCUGAUUCCUUCUCUGUUGGGUAUGCCAAAGUGAAAGAAGGACAAUAGAGCCAUCUGGUCUACCUGCCUCACGUACCUUGGACUCCUGCAUGAUUUGUGGCAAAGUCUUGGUCUAACUAGUUGAUGAACUAUAUGCACAGGUUUUGACACUGAAACUAAGAAGAGACUUGCUUAAGGUUUUGGCAAAAGAGUCUGGAAGUUCCAGAGGACCUGGUUUGAUU